rnacentral:lncRNA from 1 species
UCGAUUCUUCGUUCGUUCUUAACUAUCAUCCGUUGAUCCCCGAACACGAUCCCGGCUUAAUUCCUUGGGCUUUUACUCAGAUUUCAAAGCUCCAAAUCACUUAAAUUCAUUCCAUAACAUUUAGCUCGAAAUCACUCCUACAAGGCAUAAAACACAUAAUUAGUGCAAAAUACUAGCGAUUAAAGCUCAAACUCAACUAAAGUGCAGUAAAUUGAAAUGUAAUAAUCGACUAAAAAAUGAGAUUAUAGCCUACCAUCAACUACCUCUUUCUCCACCUCCUCCUACUCUUAACUUCCCUUACCUUCACUUUCUCAGAUGAUGCUUCUGUUAUGUCAAAACUUCUUACAUCUCUUUCUCCACCACCUUCUGGUUGGUCAACUUCUCAGCCUUUCUGUACUUGGAAAAAUGUCAACUGUGACAAAUCUUCUACUACUGUAACUUCCAUUAAUCUUGAUUCUUAAUCAGUUUCUGGUUCUUUACCUCCUGAACUUAAC